UACAGAGGUCCCAAGCGUUGUUCGGAUUCACUGGGCGUAAAGGGUGCGUAGGCGGUCGGGUAAGUCUGAUGUGAAAUCUCACAGCUUAACUGUGAAACUGCAUUGGAUACUAUCCGGCUCGAGGAAUGGAGGGGAGACUGGAAUACUUGGUGUAGCAGUGAAAUGCGUAGAUAUCAUUUGGAACGCCAAAGGUGAAAACAGACAGCUGGGGAUGUGCUGACGCUGAGACACGAAAGCCAGGGGAGCGAACGGG
rnacentral:rRNA from 1 species